UAACUAUUACAUUUUACUCAAAACUACAUUAUAGCCUUUAUCAUAGAGCUAAUAAUUUUUAUAAUGUUUCAGAGAUGCUCCUAGACAUUCAUCAACAAUUCAGCCAGGACAGAUAACGAUAUCUGAUGAUGAGGAUCUGGAUCCACCUGAAACGGGUCCAGAAAAUACUUCUUGCUACAGGGAGGAGACGGACAUUACAUUACCUGACAUUGUAGCAAACCUGUCACUUCCUAUUGAUCAUAAAAUGGUCAGCCGGUUCAACAUCUCAAGGGCUAAUGUUUGGGAUGGGGCUGUCAGAGGUUUCAAGCGUACAACAUAUUCUGAAACCUGUGACAUGCUGGUCAAAUUUACGGAUGAUACUGGUGUUCUGGAGGAGGGACUUGACACUGGAGGUCCAAGACGAGAGUUUUUAACUCUAUUAAUGAAACACCUUAAAGACCGGCCCAUUUUUGAUGGACCAGAAGGACAUCGAUUCUUGGCCUACAAUGCAAACGGUAUGCAAAUGGGUUAGAUGUGUACUGUAGGCAACUUAAUGGUUGGUUAAUGGUCAUUGACCAUAUAUAUCACAUGACAAAUGCGUUUAUAUAACAGUAUAUAAUCCAUUGUUUGUUUUGCA